ACCUGGCUGGCUCAGUCGGUAGAGCAUGCGACUCUUGAGCUCUUGAUCGUAGGGUUGUGAGUUCGAGCCCCACGUUGGGUG
rnacentral:tRNA from 1 species